AUGCGCAUUGAUGUUGAGGGUGCUUCCUUGUGGAGCUCUUUCGUCGAUGUGCAGGUCUCAUAUUCCAUUGCCUUGAGGAGCGGCAUGGCUGCCAUGACCUCCUUGGACAGGCCAUGAGACAUACAUUUCAACAAGUCUUUCAUUUCGUUGAUGUUGAAAAUCCGUUGUUUUGGAUUUGGAUUUGGAUUUGGAUUUACACCAAAUCCACGAUUUUAUGCUGGAGUGGAUUUAGGAAAUACAUGCAUUUAACAAUUCCUUGCCUCGAAUCCCUUAGUCAGACAACCCCUAAAUUCAUCUUUCACAUUAGAUUUGAGAGCAUCCAUGGAGAUCUCAGGCCAUUAAUGCAAAGAAAUAACUUUUAUUGCAAGUCUUUCAUUUCUUUGAAGUUCAAAGUCCUUGUUUUUUUUUUUUCCUUGGGAUUUGGAUAUACCCCAAAUUCAUGAUUUUAUGCUGGAGUGGAUUUAAGGAAUCCAUGCAUUUGACAAUUCCUUGCCUCAAAUCCCUAACCUCAGAUAGCACAUAAAUUCAUCUUUCACAUUAUACUUUUUUUUUCCUUUAAACUAUUUUCCUCAAUUUUGUAAUGGGGGGAGGUUUUUGGGUAAAAACUUCCUUCACAUAAUGGAGCAGACAUCCAAUGUUUGUAUAUUCCUUUGUAAAUGUCACAUAAAAAUGCCCAUUGAUGUUGAGGGUGCUUCCUUGUGGAGCUCUUCCGUCGAUGUGCAAGUCUCAUAUUCCAUUGCCUUGAGGAGCGGCAUGGCUGCCAUGACCUCCUUGGACAGGCCAUGAGACAUACAUUUCAACAAGUCUUUCAUUUUGUUGAUGUUGAAAAUCCUUUCUUUUCUUUUCUUUUUGGAUUUGGAUUUACCCCAAGUCCACGAUUUUAGGAUGGAGUGGAUUUAGGAAAUACAUGCAUUUAACAAUUCCUUGCCUCAAAUCCCUAAUCUCAGACAGGCCCUAAAUUCAUCUUUCACAUUAUAUUUUCAUUUUCCUUUUAAACUUCUUUCCUAAAUUUCGUGAUGGGGGAGGUUUUUGGGUAAAAACUUCCUUCUCAUAAUGGAGCAGACAUCCAAUGUUUGUAUAUUCCUUUGUAAACGUCACAUAAAAAUGCCCAUUGAUGUUGAGGGUGCUUCCUUGUGGAGAUCUUCCGUCAGUGUGCAGGUCUCAUAUUCCAUUGCCUUGAGGAGCGGUGUUGCUGCCAUGACCUCCUUGGAAAGGCCAUGAGACAUACAUUUUCUAGCCAUCUGUUAUUGUUCUUUCUUCUGACAUCUCGGUGUUCACUUAAUUUUAUUAUUUUCUGUUAAAGCUUUGUCUACCUGUUUCAGUUUAAAUAAUCUGUUGAAGAAUGUACAAUUAAGGUGUGUUUUUCUUGGAGAGCCAUUGUUUUAUGCUCUGUUUGGGCUUUUCAUGCUGCAUUCUCACUUCCUCUGUGUUCCACUGCAGGUGUCAUUCAUAACCAUUUUUUGAUGGGUUACAUGAUUGAUGGUUUUUCUUGCAACUUAAAUCACUAUUUGUUUUAGUAUUUUAUUGAAAAUGGUGUCUUAGUGGAGAAUAUUUUAAGAGUAUAUAUGAUACAUCUAAAAUGUAAAUACAUAUUAAUAUAUUCGUAUAAGAAUGCCAUAUUUAAAAUCUGGUGAGUUUUUCAAAAUCUUGUGAUGUUAUCACGAGAUUUAUUUUUAAAAAAAAAAAAAUCAUAUUUUUGCACUGACUGAAACCGUAAAAUCCUCUGUGGCAUUCGUUCUUUCUCAACAUUUAAUUAUGCUUUGAGGUCAUAUAAAAUAUAUGUUUAUUCAUGUGAUAUUAAAUCCUGGCUAGAGCUUGACCUUUGAAAGCUUUGAGCUGUUGGCCCGUGAUGAUAUCCGUUUACCAAAAUACCAACUUUCGGGACUGAAUGGCAUUGAAGCCUUGUUGUUAUUCUGCAAUUCUGAGGCCUAUGAAUUGAUUAAUUGUAAUGCUUUUCUUAAGUAUUUUAUUUUCCCAAUAAAAGACUUGAUUGAUUGGUUUGAACACUCUUUAGAGCUUGGUUCUAUUGGCCGGCGAUGAUAUCCAAUUACCAAAACACCAUCUUUCGGGACUGAAUGGCUUUUGAAGCCUUGCUGUUAUUCUGCAAUUCUGAGGCCUU